GACGAACGCUGGCGGCGUGCUUAACACAUGCAAGUCGAACGCUGAAGCUCAGCUUUUGUUGGGUGGAUGAGUGGCGAACGGGUGAGUAACACGUGAGUAACCUGCCUCCUUCUUUGGGAUAACGCCCGGAAACGGGUGCUAAUACUGGAUAUUCACUGGUCUUCGCAUGGGGGUUGGUGGAAAGGGUUUUUCUGGUGGGGGAUGGGCUCGCGGCCUAUCAGCUUGUUGGUGGGGUGAUGGCCUACCAAGGCUUUGACGGGUAGCCGGCCUGAGAGGGUGACCGGUCACAUUGGGACUGAGAUACGGCCCAGACUCCUACGGGAGGCAGCAGUGGGGAAUAUUGCACAAUGGGCGCAAGCCUGAUGCAGCGACGCCGCGUGGGGGAUGGAGGCCGUCGGGUUGUGAACCUCUUUCGCUCAUGGUCAAGCCGCAACAAUGGUUGUGGUGAGGGUAGUGGGUAAAGAAGCGCCGGCUAACUACGUG
rnacentral:rRNA from 1 species